UACGUAGGGUGCAAGCGUUAAUCGGAAUUACUGGGCGUAAAGCGUGCGCAGGCGGUUCGGAAAGAAAGAUGUGAAAUCCCAGAGCUUAACUUUGGAACUGCAUUUUUAACUACCGAGCUUAGAGUGUGUCAGAGGGAGGUGGAAUUCCGCGUGUAGCAGUGAAAUGCGUAGAUAUGCGGAGGAACACCGAUGGCGAAGGCAGCCUCCUGGGGAUAACAC
rnacentral:rRNA from 1 species